rnacentral:rRNA from 1 species
GACGAACGCUGGCGGCGUGCUUAACACAUGCAAGUCGAACGAAGAGCGAUGGAAGCUUGCUUCUAUCAAUCUUAGUGGCGAACGGGUGAGUAACGCGUAAUCAACCUGCCCUUUAGAGGGGGACAACAGUUGGAAACGACUGCUAAUACCGCAUACGAUCUAAUCUCGGCAUCGAGGAUAGAUGAAAGGUGGCCUCUACAUGUAAGCUCUCACUGAAGGUGGGGAUUGCGUCUGAUUAGCUAGUUGGAGGGGUAACGGCCCACCAAGGCGAUGAUCAGUAGCCGGUCUGAGAGGAUGGACGGCCACAAUGGGACUGAGACACGGCCCAGACUCCUACGGGAGGCAGCAGUGGGGAAUCUUCCGCAAUGGACGAAAGGCUGACGGAGCAACGCGGCGUGAGUGAUGACGGCCUUCGGGUUGUAAAGCUCUGUUAAUCGGGACGAAAGGCCUUCUUGCGAAUAGUGAGAAGGAUUGACGGUACCGGAAUAGAAAGCCACGGCUAACUACGUG